AGAGUUUGAUCCUGGCUCAGAAUGAACGCUGGCGGCGUGCCUAACACAUGCAAGUCGAGCGCGAAAGGCCUUCGGGCUGAGUAAAGCGGCGAACGGGUGAGUAAAGCGUGAGAAUCUACCCUUCAGUGAAGGAUACCUUCGAGAAAUCGGAGUUAAUACUGCAUUCGUCCCUUCGGGGAGAAAGAUGGCCUCUUUGCUGUCGCUGAUUGAUGAGCUUACGUACUAUUAGCUAGUUGGUAGGGUAAAGGCCUACCAAGGCGAUGAUGGUUAGCCGGCCUGAGAGGGUGUACGGCCACACUGGAACUUAGACACGGUCCAGACUCCUACGGGAGGCAGCAGUGAGGAGUCUUGCACAAUGGGCGAA
rnacentral:rRNA from 1 species